rnacentral:rRNA from 1 species
UACGUAGGGUGCAAGCGUUGUCCGGAAUUAUUGGGCGUAAAGAGCUCGUAGGCGGUCUGUCGCGUCUGCUGUGAAAACUCGGGGCUUAACCCCGGGCCUGCAGUGGGUACGGGCAGACUAGAGUGCGGUAGGGGAGACUGGAAUUCCUGGUGUAGCGGUGGAAUGCGCAGAUAUCAGGAGGAACACCGGUGGCGAAGGCGGGUCUCUGGGCCGACAUUGACGCUGAGGAGCGAAAGCGUGGGGAGCGAACAGG